AUCCAGUCCAAAACACGUUGAGAGUUGC
rnacentral:sRNA from 1 species